rnacentral:rRNA from 1 species
AAAGUUAGAGGUUCGAAGGCGAUCAGAUACCGCCCUAGUUCUAACCAUAAACGAUGCCAGCUAGCGAUCCGGCUGUGUUCCUCAAAUGACACGCCGGGCAGCUUCCGGGAAACCAAAGCCUUUGGGUUCCGGGGGGAGUAUGGUUGCAAAGCUGAAACUUAAAGGAAUAGACGGAAGGGCACCACCAGGAAUGGAGCCUGCGGCUUAAUUUGACUCAACACGGGAAAACUUACCCGGCCCGGACACAGGAAGGAUUGACAGAUUAAGAGCUCUUUCUUGAUUCUGUGGGUGGUGGUGCAUGGCCGCUCUUAGUUCGUGGAGCGAUUUGUCUGGUUAAUUCCGAUAACGAACGAGACUCUAGCCUAUUAAAUAGGCGUUCCGAUCUUUAUUGUCGGACGUUCUUCUUAGAGGGAUAAACGGCGUUUAGCCGCACGAGACAGAGCAAUAGCAGGUCUGUGAUGCCCUUAGAUGUCCGGGGCCGCACGCGCGCUACAUUGAAGGAAUCAGCGUGUGCUCUCCCUGUCCGACAGGACUGGGUAACCCGUUGAAACUCCUUCGUGCUGGGGAUAGAAAAUUGCAACUUUUUUUCUUGAACGAGGAAUUCCCAGUAAGCACAAGUCAUUAGCUUGUGUUGACUACGUCCCUGGCCUUUGUACUCACCGCCCGUCGCUAUUACCGAUAGAGCGAUUUAGUGAGGUCUUCAGACUGGCGCUCCGGGCGGCCUCCGGGUCACGCACGGUGGUGCCGGAAAGAUGACCGAACUUGACCGCU